AUCACUCGGCUCGUGGAUCGAUGAAGAACGCAGCAAACUGUGCGUCAU
rnacentral:rRNA from 4 species